UCUCAACAUCAAGAGUGGCAAUGUUUAUACAUUGUCCAGCAACCGAGCCUUUUGGCAAAGGAUACGGUGCUAGUUCGCUUAAGGGGGAAUGAUGUGGCCGAAAUAGGCAAAAAAAAUAAGUAAC
rnacentral:ncRNA from 2 species